GGGUUGCUAACUCAACGGUAGAGUACUCGGCUUUUAAUUCCGGGUUCGAGUCCCGGGCAACCCA
rnacentral:tRNA from 1 species